GUGAAUCAUCAAAUUUUUGAACGCAAAUUGCACGCUCCUCGGAGAGUAUGCCUGUUUGAGGGGCAGCCUAUAAAAAAUCGACAUCGGGGCUGUUACGCGGGGGCGUUCGUCGGAAAUUGGGUCAUCUUAAAUCUUUUGGUUUUAAGAGACUUAAAAGUUUCUUUUUGGUUCCAGGAAAGUGUCUAAGAUUUAUUUCUUUACACGAUUAAGGUAUCGAUUUUUAUUAGACGUGACCAUCAUAUCGGAGCGCGCACAUAAUCUGUAAUUAACGGGC
rnacentral:misc_RNA from 1 species